UUUUAUUAGAAAUAAUUAAUAAUACAAUCUGCUCAAUGAAUAAUUAAAUAGCCGCAAUUCUGUGCUAAGGUAGCAUAAUCAUUUGUCUUUUAAUUGAAGACUAGAACAAAAGAUUAAACAUUUUAAUUAAUUUAUUUUACUUAUAAAUUAUAAUUUAUUUUAAAUGUAAAAAAACAUUUUAAUAAAAGGAAGACGACAAGACCCUAUUGAACUUAACUUUAGUUAAACUGGGGCAGUUAAUUAAUUAAAAUUUUAAUUUAUAUUUUUAAAAAAUAUUGAUCCAAUAAAAAUGAUCAUUUAAUUAAGUUACCAUAGGGAUAACAGCGUUAUAAUAAUUUUAAGAUCUUAUUUAAAUUAAUUUUUGCGACCUCGAUGUUGAAUAAUAACCUAUAAUAUGCAAUAAUUUAAAAAGGAAGUCUGUUCGACUUUUAAAAAAUUACA
rnacentral:rRNA from 1 species